CGCAACUUUUGAACUGGAAGGAUGCAUGUCGAGUUUGCUCCGUUGCGGGAUAAUGGCUGCCUUGACCCCGCUGUUUGUGCGGCGUCGUAGGAACCCAGAGCGGCUAUUGUUGGAUCUUCGCGUUUGGUAAUGAAGUAGAUGGGCCUACACUUCUGCAGAUGUCUGAAAGAAUGGGUGAAUGAGUGAAUUUUUCUAAAAAUAAAAGACCAGGUGAAGUUCCUGUCUGCUUCAGCUAAAAGUUGAAAGCCAAGCCCCUGUGAGUCAAAUAACCCCAGCAGCCCAACCUAUGAUGAACUGCAAAGUCUGGUUUCCUCCAGCAGUCUUCACUGCAUUGACCAAUAAAGAUGCAGUUCUGAAGUCGCAUACAGAGUAAAAAACAUGCUUAUUCAAGCUCUGUUUGAUCAU